rnacentral:lncRNA from 1 species
UAUUUGUACAGUAUUGUACAUCAAAACUUACAAGGUUAAAUCUAUAUAAUGGUGUGUAUAAUCGUUACAGAAUAUAUCAUCUAUGUCAGUUAAUAGGACGUAGUUCAUCUUUUUCAGGGACCUACAUUGGUGAACUUAUGGAUUGUAAAAUUGUUACAUAUAAAAAGAGUUAUCUUGCUUUUCUCAAUAGUGCACGGACCUAA